UGGGGAAUUUUUGACAAUGGGGGAAACCCUGAUCCAGCCAUCCCGCGUGUGCGAUGAAGGCCUUCGGGUUGUAAAGCACUUUUGGCAGGAAAGAAACGUCAUGGGUUAAUACCCCGUGAAACUGACGGUACCUGCAGAAUAAGCACCGGCUAACUACGUGCCAGCAGCCGCGGUAAUACGUAGGGUGCAAGCGUUAAUCGGAAUUACUGGGCGUAAAGCGUGCGCAGGCGGUUCGGAAAGAAUGAUGUGAAAUCCCAGAGCUCAACUUUGGAACUGCAUUUUUAACUACCGGGCUAGGGUGUGUCAGAGGGAGGUGGAAUUCCGAGUGUAGCAGUGAAAUGCGUAGAUAUGCGGAGGAACCCCGAUGGCGAAGGCAGCCUCCUGGGAUAACACUGACGCUCAUGCACGAAAGCGUGGGGAGCAAACAGG
rnacentral:rRNA from 1 species